AUGAAAAAUUGAUUUCCGAUUCUCAGCCACAUCCAGAGUAUAGGGUCGGAGCGUGACAAAACUGGUCGAUGAACUAAAGUAUUCUUUUGUUCACACAAACAUGUAGAGGAGUACUAGAUCUAAACAUAACCUCACAAAAAUAAGUAAUAUUUUUGUGAAUUUGAGUUUUGAUGGUGGUGUUGAAAAAAGCUGGAUUUCAAUCCAUAAAGUUCAGACCAAUAAUGAUUUCCGAUUCUCA
rnacentral:misc_RNA from 1 species